ACUCAAAUGAAUUGACGGGGGCCCGCACAAGCAGUGGAGAAUGUGGUUUAAUUCGAUGCAACGCGAAGAACCUUACCUGGGUUUGAAAGGCAAGUGACACCCCGUGAAAGCGGGGCUCGUAGCAAUACGCACUUGUACAGGUGCUGCAUGGCUGUCGUCAGCUCGUGCCGUGAGGUGUUAGGUUAAGUCCUGCAACGAGCGCAACCCCUGCACUUAGUUGCCAUCAGGUCACGCUGGGCACUCUAGGUGGACUGCCUACGCAAGUAGCGAGGAAGGCGGGGAUGACGUCAAGUCCUCAUGGCCCUUACAUCCAGGGCAACACACGUUCUACAAUGGUCGGUACAAAGGGUUGCCAAACCGCGAGGUGGAGCCAAUCCCAAAAAACCGACCUCAGUUCGGAUUGGGGUCUGCAACUCGACCCCAUGAAGCUGGAAUUGCUAGUAAUCGCGUAUCAGCAUGACGCGGUGAAUACGUUCCCGGGCCUUGCACACACCGCCCGU
rnacentral:rRNA from 1 species